rnacentral:snRNA from 1 species
GGAUGUGAAGGUGAUCUGGCUGCAGCACCUAUCACCACAUUGAUCACCGGGGUUGAUCUGGCUGGUCUGACUGGCGAGGCAGGUGUCCCCUUCCUCCCUCAACACUCUGUGUGCAUCCCUCCCAUGCUUGGUCAAAGAGAAUACCUUUCCCUAAUAGAGGAGGACCAUUUUUCAGUAAGGGUAUUUCAAGUAGCUGCACUCUCUUGCUAGAAUCCUCUCAAAGUCUAUUUGCCAGAGAAUGUAGGGUAGUCAAGCUUCCAAGGCUCCAGAUACAUCCAAAUGAUGCACUGUAUGUGGCAGUCUGCCUUUCUGU